rnacentral:lncRNA from 1 species
UCCUCUUCCUCCUUCCAGUCUUCCCCUGCCAGCUUCUACUCCACUCCUGUCCCUGCCAUUUUCCACCAUUGUUUUCGUCAUGCAUUUUGUUCAUCUCUUUUCCUUGUCCUUACGUGGUUCCUUAUCUCAUUGGCAAAACCCCUUUGUUUUUAGUAAUUAAUCAUGAAGUUAUGCCUUAGUUUUUCAAUUGAUAGUUUCCCAACUAGAGAAUAGUAUAAAAAAUUAAUUCAGUGCCCGAGAGAAUGGUAGAGAAGACCUCUAUAGUUUGGAUGGAUUGACUCCUCGGGCAGCAUCAAGUGCUGUUAACAUGCUUCUAGAAUUGCUAGCUGACAUCCCCAUUUGAUCUUUUUUGACAUCAAUUUCUAGGGCACUGCAGAUGAUGUUGUGGAUUGUUCUCAUGGUAAGCAGCUGUU